GGCCGCGUGGUGGCUUAGUGUUUAGCACGUUUGCCUGACACGUCCAGGGCUGCGGGUUCGAUUUCCUCCGCAGCCU